UACGUAGGGGUCUAGCGUUGUCCGGAAUCAUUGGGCGUAAAGCGCGUGUAGGCGGUGCGGUAAGUCCGCUGUGAAAGUCGAGGGCUCAACCCUCGAAUGCCGGUGGAUACUGUCGGGCUAGAGGGCGGAAGAGGCGAGUGGAAUUCCUGGUGUAGCGGUGAAAUGCGCAGAUAUCAGGAGGAACACCUAUUGCGAAGGCAGCUCGCUGGGCAGUUACUGACGCUGAGACGCGAAAGCGUGGGGAGCAAACAGG
rnacentral:rRNA from 1 species